UCCGAAUAUAUCCUUAAAAUUUUAGAUAAAAUUAUGAUAAGAUCUAACAUUUUAUUAAAGAUAUAAUAGAUAUUUUAUAUAAUUUUUUAUAUUUAAUUAAGUAUAUAUUUUUUUUACAAUAUAUCAUUUUUUUAUGAUCAACCAAAUAUCCAAAUAUCAUUUUUUCAAGUAUCAUAUAUAUGCCUAUGCAACAGCUUCUCCGGAAAAACUUUCCAAUGGGGAAAAAAUUCUUUUGUGAAUCGAAUGAGUCCACUGUGCUUUUGCAAAUAGGAGGAGAGUUGAAAUCAAGCGGGGGACUGCACAAAAUGAAUGAGAGU
rnacentral:lncRNA from 1 species